rnacentral:lncRNA from 11 species
GCUGUCGCCCUGCCCUUCUUCGAUGUAUUGUGUCUGAAGUGCAGCAACGGCUUUCUCUCAGUUUCUGGGAUCCCAGAGGCUUAUUAAGGGAAGUGAACCGAGACGACCGACCUUCUUCUCUGAUAAAUUUGGAGCAGCACUGUUAACAUUAGCUGUAAGAGCAGAAGCAAGGAAAACACACAGCAACCCAGACCCAAGAAUCAUCUUCCCUAGGACAGCUGGGCAACAAAGGCAGCUCAGUUUGGCUGGACCAAGGGAAAUAGAUGGUUGAAACUCCAGAAGGAAAAGAAGGAUGGCAGCCCAGUUGUUCCUUGGAUCCACAUGCAAAAGAAAAUGCAAUAAUGGAUGAAAUCAUCAAAAUAGAAGACUCUCAUUUGAAGGAUGAGUACUCUAGAACUGAGUCUGCCUGGAAAAGCUCUUUAUGCCUCAGAAAGAAAAAAAGGAUGCAAUGCAAAAUACAAAAUACUAACUUUGAGCUUGGCA